UACGUAGGGUGCGAGCGUUAAUCGGAAUUACUGGGCGUAAAGCGCACGUAGGCGGAUUGUUAAGUCGGGGGUGAAAUCCUGGAGCUCAACCCCAGAACUGCCUUCGAAACUGGCGAUCUUGAGUUCGGGAGAGGUGAGUGGAACUGCGAGUGUAGAGGUGAAAGUCGUAGAUAUUCGCAAGAACAGCAGUGGCGAAGGCGGCUCACUGGCCCGAUACUGACGCUGAGGUGCGAAAGCGUGGGGAGCAAACAGG
rnacentral:rRNA from 1 species